rnacentral:rRNA from 1 species
GCAUCAUGAUCUAGCCAGCACCCACAAGCAAAGAGAACUCUAGUUUGAAACCCCGAAACCUACAACGAGCUACCCCAAGGCCGCCUAAAACAGGGCAAACCCGUCUCUGUGGCAAAAGAGUGGGACGACCUUCAGGUAGAGGUGAAAAGCCUACCGAGUCAGGUUAUAGCUGGUUGCUCAGAAAAUGAAUAAUAGUUCAGCCCCAUAAACCCCCACGCCAAACACACACCAACCAGGCAAAGGGCUACCCAUGGGAGUUAGUUAAAGGAGGUACAGCUCCCUUAACAAAGGACACAACCUUCAACAGGAGGCUAAGGAAUAUACCCCCCAAGGCUCUAUCAAGUCUAAGUAGGCCUAAAAGCAGCCACCUAAACAGAAAGCGUUAAAGCUCAAACCUACCCAAGCCCAACAUUACAAUCAUAUCUCCAACGCCCCAACCCCUAAUACUGAGCCAUUUUAUGCCACCAUAAAAGAGACCAUGCUAGAACAAGUAAUAAGAAGAAUGAACUUCUCCUUGCACAUGUGUAAAUCGAACCGGACUAACCACCGAUAAUUAACGAACCCAACAACAGAGGGCCCAACACAGCCACCACUUAAAACCAAGAAAACCACGUUCUCCAAAUCGUUACCCCCACACAGGAGUGCCAACCCAAAGGAAAGACCAAAAGGGAAAAAAGGAACUCGGCAAACAUAAACCCCGCCUGUUUACCAAAAACAUCGCCUCCUGCCACUAAUCACAUAGGAG